ACUUCAGUUAGGGACAACCGAGCGUAGAUAGUGACAAUCGGAUUACUGGAAGGCCGGUUUGGCAAGCUUUCCGAUACGAAGUUAUAUAGACCUGGAGAUGGAAAUCUGGCGUUUAUUACUAUGGUGUUAGCCUUAAUUUAAAAAAAAUAUUAAAUAAUACAAAGAGAGAAAUAUUAGAAAAUUAGAAAUGCUUUUAGUUCGUUUGAAUUUCCAAGCUUUUUUUUUAAAUCAAGUGUAAUGUCAAUAUUUUUUAAUAUUUACAUACGCCUGUUAUCACAGUAAUUAUAUUAUUAUAAAAAUUAUUGGACUGCAAUAUACAAUGGAUGACAUUUGAUACAAAAAAAGUGCAUAGUUAUUCGACUAGUCUUGGUUUCAAACUGGUGUACAUAAUCAAUAAGUAAAUUUCUUCUUCGGUUGACCAUGUUCCUGGGCUUGCAAGCGACAUUUCAAUUUAGAGAAACUUAAGAACUCUCUGCGUUCAAAUUUCCAUCUCCAGUUUUU